CACGUAGGGCGCAAGCGUUGUCCGGAAUUAUUGGGCGUAAAGAGCUCGUAGGCGGUCUGUUGCGUCCGCUGUGAAAACUCGGGGCUUAACCCCGAGCCUGCAGUGGAUACGGGCAGACUAGAGGUAGGUAGGGGAGAAUGGAAUUCCCGGUGUAGUGGUGAAAUGCGUAGAUAUCGGGAGGAACACCAGUGGCGAAAGCGGCUACCUGGACCAUACUUGACGCUGAGGCGCGAAAGCUAGGGGAGCAAACGGG
rnacentral:rRNA from 1 species